rnacentral:rRNA from 1 species
UACGGAGGGUGCAAGCGUUAUCCGGAUUCACUGGGUUUAAAGGGUGCGUAGGAGGGCAGGUAAGUCAGUGGUGAAAUCUCCAAGCUUAACUUGGAAACUGCCGUUGAUACUAUCUGUCUUGAAUAUUGUGGAGGUGAGCGGAAUAUGUCAUGUAGCGGUGAAAUGCUUAGAUAUGACGUAGAACACCAAUUGCGAAGGCAGCUCACUACACAAUCAUUGACUCUGAGGCACGAAAGCGUGGGGAGCGAACAGG